UGGUUCGAUUCCGGCUCGAAGGA
rnacentral:piRNA from 1 species